rnacentral:rRNA from 1 species
GGCUGAUUAGGUAGUUGGCGGGGUAACGGCCCACCAAGCCUGCGAUCAGUAACUGGUGUGAGAGCACGACCAGUCACACGGGCACUGAGACACGGGCCCGACUCCUACGGGAGGCAGCAGUAAGGAAUAUUGGGCAAUGGACGCAAGUCUGACCCAGCCAUGCCGCGUGGAGGAUGAAGGCCCUCUGGGUUGUAAACUUCUUUUCUCUGGGGCGAAAAACAGGUUUUCUAACUUGCUUGACAGUACCAGAGGAAUAAGCACCGGCUAACUCCGUGCCAGCAGCCGCGGUAAUACGGAGGGUGCAAGCGUUAUCCGGAUUCACUGGGUUUAAAGGGUGCGUAGGUGGGUUGGUAAGUCAGUGGUGAAAUCUCCGGGCUUAACCUGGAAACUGCCAUUGAUACUAUCAAUCUUGAAUACCUUGGAGGUAAGCGGAAUAUGUCAUGUAGCGGUGAAAUGCUUAGAUAUGACAUAGAACACCAAUUGCGAAGGCAGCUUACUACACGGUCAUUGACACUGAGGCACGAAAGCGUGGGGAUCA